AGCAGCCGCGGUAAUUCCAGCUCCAAUAGCGUAUAUUAAAGUUGUUGCAGUUAAAAAGCUCGUAGUUGAAUUUCGAGAUCAAAUUGUUGGUCGUGCCUUGGUACGCACUGGCAUUAUUGGUUUCUCCCUUCUGACGAAUCAUGAUGUCAUUAAUUUGGUGUCUUGGGGAAUCAGGACUGUUACUUUGAAAAAAUUAGAGUGUUUAAAGCAGGCUUACGCUUGAAUACAUUAGCAUGGAAUAAUGAAAUAGGACGUUUGAUUCUAUUUUGUUGGUUUCUAGGAUCGACGUAAUGAUUAAUAGGGAUAGUUGGGGGCGAUUAGUAUUCAAUUGUCAGAGGUGAAAUUCUUGGAUUUAUUGAAGACUAACUACUGCGAAAGCAUUUGCCAAGGAUGUUUUCAUUAAUCAAGAACGAAAGUUAGGGGAUCGAAGACGAUCAGAUACCGUCGUAGUCUUAACCAUAAACUAUGCCGACUAGGGAUCGGAUGAUGUUAAUUUUUUAAUGACUCAUUCGGCGCCUUA
rnacentral:misc_RNA from 1 species